GUCACGUCCCAUGAAGCCAAGGGGACGGGAGGAAACCCUCCGUCCUCCUCCAGCCAGGGGGGCCCAGGCCUUCUCAGGACUCAGCUCUGCCAGGAGGUUCUAAGUUUAAAAGCCCUCCAGGCAAUGAUUUUGCAGAUAACUGUGAUGAAGUACUUUGUGUGUGUGUGGUUUGUUUCUGCUUUUGUUUUUUUAGGGCCGCACCCCCAGCAUAUGGAGGUUCCCAGGCUAGGGGUCCAAUGGGAGCGGUAGCCGCCAGCCUGCACCAGAGCCACAGCAGUGUGGGAUCCAAGCCGCGUCUGUGACCUACAACGCCGGAUCCUUGACCCACGGAGCAAGGCCAGGGAUUGAACCUGCGUCCUCAUGGAUGCUCGUCAGAUUCGUUGCCGCUGCGCCACGAUGGGAACCCCGACUGUGAUGAAAUUCUAAUCCUAGUAGGUCGUGAGUCUCUACCAUGUACCCCUCCUUCUCUUAGUGAUUUGUCUCCUGACAAAAUAAUGAGAGAGAUGCGCACAGAGACGUCGGCAGGAAGAUAUUUAUUACAACAUUGUUAUAAGAAAUAUAAAGCGAUGUGUGACAGUCCUGGGCCACGCGCACGCGCACCACCUCCUGUCCCCCCGCUGGUACAUGGAGGGGGGACUCAUAAGCAGUGGCUUCUCUCUCCCACCCCAGGAAGCCUCUCUUCUAAGGCACCGUCACCUGCGGGUGUGUCUAGAAGGCUUUUCUGGCACUCUUCCUCCUCCCAACAACCUGAGAACAACUGUGAGCCCGUAACCCCUUAUCCCUCAUUCCAAAAUAAAACAUCUCUCAACAAUAGGGUUUUUUCCCUAACUCUGACCCCAAAUCUGGCCUGACCCGUGGUGAUCACAUUUCUAGGCUUUCUGUGUCUCACUGAGUGUGAACAGGCACACAUUUAGCCUCAGAAACACUGGCGGCUUUGGUGGCAGGCCGCUGUCCUCCGCCUCACUGGGGUACUCCUUCCUCUGUCACAAAGGCACGAGAUUCCCUCCCCGACAUCUGAAAACGGCUUCAUCCAAAAC
rnacentral:lncRNA from 1 species